UUCUCUGGCCAUACCACCCUGAACGCGCCUGAUCUCAUCUGAUCUCAGAAGCUAAGCAGGGUCAGGCCUGGUUUAGUACUUGGAUGGGAGAAAUCUGCAUGCGCCACCACAC
ensembl:rRNA n-R5s3 nuclear encoded rRNA 5S 3